AAAGGCGAAAAGCAGUGGUCUCAGAACAGGAGCUGGUCAAGUGAAGAACGUGGGGAGAAUAGAGAGAGAGAUGGAGUAAAGUGGGGACAGACCAAACUCAUCGAGGGAUAGUAGGAAGGCAUUUAUAUGAGCAAAGCACUCCCACAACAUGAUGCUGCCACCCCCAUGCUUCACGAUGAAAGUGGUACCUUCAGGUGUUUGGAAACUGCUCCCAAGGAUGAACCAGACAUGUGGAGGUCCACGAUUUCUUUGAUUUUCCCAUGAUGUCAAGCAAAGAGACACUGAGUUUGAAGCAAGAUCCAGGGACCAUACAAUAUGUGACCACACUAGCUGAAUGCUGUUUCUGUAUCCUGUUUGCCCUCACGACAUACUGUACACUGAAAAAAAAUUAUUAUGUGGUGAAGUAAAUAUAGCAGAAAAGAUUAAGUACUUUCUUCAUCGAAUAAGUUAGUGUGAACUUAAAAAUAUUAAGUAAAUUCUUCAUUUGCACUCAAUUCAAACAUGUAAAAAUGAAUGCUUUAGCUUAUAAGUAAAUAUUCUUUAUGAUUGUUUGUUAUCUUUACAAUGCGUCAUCAUGUAUGAAUCCUAAAAGAGAAAACCUUGUCAUAUUUAUUUGCUAAUUUGAGUAAAUUUCACAGGUAAAUAAACAUAGUAAUUUUUUAAAACUUUGUGAAGCUGGUGUUUCCAGCAUGCACCAGUCUUGAGUAAUAAAUGAGCUUGCAAAGUUCACUGUUUGCAAGUUGAUUUACACCAAUUUUAUUGUUGAUUUUGUUGCAACGUUUGGUAAAUUUACUUGAAACAGAGUAUUGCAAAGUAAACUCGACUUGAGAAGUUCUAAUUAAAGCCACCAAUAAUUGUGUGAAGCCUUUACUUGAAAAUCUGUUCUGAUAAAUUUUUGCGUGGAAGUUUUUUUCAGUGUAAUGCAUCUAAACAUUUAGCAUGCUGCUAAAUAUUUCUGUAAGUAUAA